GGGUGUGAUCAUACCAGCACUAAUGCUCUGGAUCCCAUCAGAACUCCGCAGUUAAGCGUGCUUGGGCGAGAGUAGUACUAGGAUGGGUGACCU
rnacentral:rRNA from 1 species